UACGAAGGGGGCUAGCGUUGUUCGGAAUUACUGGGCGUAAAGGGCGCGUAGGCGGCUCGGCAAGCUGGAUGUGAAAGCCCAGGGCUCAACCCUGGAAUUGCAUUCAAGACUGCCUUGCUUGAAUUCGGUAGAGGUUGGUGGAAUUCCCAGUGUAGAGGUGAAAUUCGUAGAGAUUGGGAAGAACACCGGUGGCGAAGGCGGCCAACUGGACCGACAUUGACGCUGAGGCGCGAAAGCGUGGGGAUCAAACAGG
rnacentral:rRNA from 1 species